UACGUAGGGGGCGAGCGUUGUCCGGAUUUACUGGGCGUAAAGCGCGCGCAGGCGGUUCGUUAAGUCCGGUCUGAAAGCCCCCGGCUCAACCGGGGAGGGUGGCUGGAAACUGGCGUUCUUGAGGGCGAGAGAGGAGGGUGGAAUUCCUGGUGUAGCGGUGAAAUGCGUAGAGAUCAGGAGGAACACCCGGGGCGAAGGCGGCCCUCUGGCUCGACCCUGACGCUGAGGCGCGAAAGCGUGGGGAGCGAACGGG
rnacentral:rRNA from 1 species